rnacentral:rRNA from 1 species
GAUGAACGCUGGCGGCGUGCCUAAUACAUGCAAGUCGAGCGAACAGACGAGGAGCUUGCUCCUCUGACGUUAGCGGCGGACGGGUGAGGAACACGUGGAUAACCUACCUAGAAGACUGGGAUAACGUCGGGAAACCGGAGCUAAUACAGGAUAAUAUAGUGAACCGCAUGGUUCAAUAGUGAAAGACGGUUUUGCUGUCACUUAUAGAUGGAUCCGCGCCGCAUUAGCUAGUUGGUAAGGUAACGGCCUACCAAGGCAACGAUGCGUAGCCGACCUGAGAGGGUGAUCGGCCACACUGGAACUGAGACACGGUCCAGACUCCUACGGGAGGCAGCAGUAGGGAAUCUUCCGCAAUGGGCGAAAGCCUGACGGAGCAACGCCGCGUGAGUGAUGAAGGUCUUCGGAUCGUAAAACUCUGUUAUUAGGGAAGAACAAAUGUGUAAGUAACUAUGCACGUCUUGACGGUACCUACUCAGAAAGCCACGGCUAACUACGUG